AUGGCCAGUCUUUGAAUGUGAUAUCUUUUAAUAUACUUCAGAAGUAAAAAAAGAAAGAAGAAAAAAAUGUCUCUUUUAAUUGGUUAAAAUUAAAAUAGCAGAAGAGUUUGCCAAGAACUACAGUAAUGUAAUGCAAGUCUUUUCAAACCCUCAAACUGGAAUUCUUUGCAUAUCUACAGGAAGAGUGGAUAGGUGACAACUUCCAGAGGAAGAAAAGAAGACGACGAUGAUGGCUCUGAUAAAUGUGGAGUUGAGGACCAUGGCAGGAUGAAGGUUUGAUCUUUGGAACCUGAGGAUUUUUCUGUUUCUCCUGGAUGUGAUUGAGUAUACAAUAUUCCUUACCACCUGGUAAACUGAAGCUACAGUAUAUGAAUAGCAGAACCACACACGUCUCUGAAAAUCUGGAGCAUCUAUUUUGAAAACAUCUUUUUGUUUCAACAUAUCACUGGGUGACCUAAUCCGUGAAAAUGACAGCGAAGCCAUUAAUAAGCAUGUUCUUUACAUAGCACCAUCCAAUUAAUCAGCAAGUACAGUGUAGUAACAAUGUGU